AGAUCUCUGCAUCUUCGUUCCAAAAUCGAAGAGGAGAUUAUUUCCCCAGCUUCUCUCCGCUCUCUACAUCGUCUCCAGUCCGCCAGCCUCCGACUCCGACGAUCUUGGGGUUCUUAGUAGGCGUUCUCAGUUCGCCAGCCAUCGACUUCGACGACAGUCGGCGUUCUCAGGUUGCCAGCCUCGUACUUUGACGAUCUUGGCCAUUCUCAGCUUCACCUUCGAUCACCGACGGGUCUGCUCACUCUCGGGUCUCUCUCCCUAACGCCGACGGUCUGCGACUCCCUCUCGGCUCUCUCUCCAAACGGUCGGCGACACCCUCUUGGCUACGAGUUGCUCUCUCUGCCGAAACACAGUGAUCUCUCUUGCAACUACCUCAAUGGAUCAAUCCCCCCAAGCCUUUCUCGUGCACCCCUGCGCAUUCUGAGUGUACUGGGAAACCGACUCAGUGGUUCCAUUCCUCCAGAGAUUGGUAACAUUAGAACGCUCAGGGAGCUGUAAGUCUAAUAUAUAAAUGUGUAAUAUAUAGUAUGGUAGUGUCAAAAUGCAAGACUUUUUUAGCAAUAGUUUUCUGUCAAUUCUUUUAAGGAUCAAUUUAAUGUUUCUUCAAAAUCUGUAGGACUCAUAUAGAAGCAAAUAUUUUAAACCACUUUGUCAUAUCAAGACUUUUUUAUAAUUGUGUAUUUAUAUAUAAAUAUAUAUAUAUAUACUCAGUCAAGGUUU